GCCUUAUUCUGUAAGAUUGGGCUUAGACUCACCAGUCACACUGUCUGUCUGCUGUAGUCUACUGUAUUCUGUAGUCUACUGUAUUCUGUGCACUGUUUAAACUUUCUGGCAGCUGCUUACAUCUUUUGGAUCUAGAAGUAAAAAACAAGAUGAUAUUCACUGAAUUGAACUAUUUACAUAUAUGAAACUACCUCUUAAAGAUUAGUUUUCCUUUUUAUAUGCAAGUUUUGUGAACUUACAGUAUUACAUUCUUUUUCAUUCAUGUAUUUAAUAUGUAUGCUUUCUUCAGGGACUUAGUCAUGCAUUGAGAAAGCAAGCAUGGAAAUUUCUUCUGGGUUAUUUUCCCUGGGACAGUACCAAGGAGGAAAGAACCCAAUUACAAAAGCAAAAAACUGAUGAAUACUUCAGAAUGAAACUGCAGUGGAAAUCCAUCAGCCAGGAACAAGAGAAAAGAAAUUCGAGGUUAAGAGAUUAUAGAAGUCUUAUCGAAAAAGAUGUUAACAGAACAGAUCGAACAAACAAGUUUUAUGAAGGCCAAGAUAAUCCAGGGUUGAUUUUACUUCAUGACAUUUUGAUGACCUACUGUAUGUAUGAUUUUGAUUUAGGAUAUGUUCAAGGAAUGAGUGAUUUACUUUCCCCUCUUUUAUAUGUGAUGGAAAAUGAAGUGGAUGCCUUUUGGUGCUUUGCCUCUUACAUGGACCAAAUGCAUCAGAAUUUUGAAGAACAAAUGCAAGGCAUGAAGACCCAGCUAAUUCAGCUGAGUACCUUACUUCGAUUGUUAGAC
rnacentral:lncRNA from 1 species